CUUUGGAGGUCGUUAUUAGACUAGAGGCUUUGGAGGUCGUUAUUAGACUAGAGGCUUUGGAGGUCGUUAUUAGACUAGAGGCUUUGGAGGUCGUUAUUAGACUAGAGGCUUUGGAGGUCGUUAUUAGACUAGAGGCUUUGGAGGUCGUUAUUAGACUGUAGCGGUAGAGGCUUUGGAGGUCGUUAUUAGACUAGAGGCUUUGGAGGUCGUUAUUAGACUGUAGCGGUAGAGGCUUUGGAGGUCGUUAUUAGA